rnacentral:rRNA from 1 species
CAGUCGCCACGGUAAUACAGAGGGUGCAAGCGUUAAUCGGAAUUACUGGGCGUAAAGCGCGCGUAGGUGGUUUGUUAAGUUGGAUGUGAAAUCCCCGGGCUCAUCCUGGGAACUGCAUCCAAAACUGGCAAGCUAGAGUAUGGUAGAGGGUGGUGGAAUUUCCUGUGUAGCGGUGAAAUGCGUAGAUAUAGGAAGGAACACCAGUGGCGAAGGCGACCACCUGGACUGAUACUGACACUGAGGUGCGAAAGCGUGGGGAGCAAACAGGAUUAGAUACCCCCGUAGUCCCUGUCUCUUAUAC